GGUUGUAUGGUGUAAUGGUUAGCACAUCGGAUUCUGAUUCCGGUAAUCCCGGUUCGAUCCCGGGUACGACCU
rnacentral:tRNA from 1 species